CUUUCUSCUACACUGAGAGAMAUAUGAUGUGUWUGUGUUGAGUURKUUAUCUAUUUUUACAUACAAUYUCAUGUCUYWAGCCGAAUCAUUAUUAUUAWAUUCACUGUGYUAUGUAUAUUMUUUAUUUUAUUGURGUUKUUAUGUUUCCGUAUAYAUCCAGCUCCAAUAGCGUAUGUAAAGUUGUUGCAGUUAAAAAGCUYGUAKUUGGAUUUCYGAAGGUUCUUAGCAAUCCGCCCCUUYGGGGGAGCGGGUUGCUUGCCUCCUAUGUUCCUAACGGUCCUCGUCCGCGAGGGCGGGGAAUCAWCCGCUAGGAUCGUUUACUUUGAGGAAAUUAGAGUGUUCAAAGCAGGCGUAACUYGCCUCCGAAUACGUUAGCAUGGGAUAAUGGAAUACGACUUCGGUCUUGUUUCGUUGGUUUCGCUUGGCUGAAGUAAUGAUUGAUAGGGACAGUUGGGGGCAUUAGUAUUUAGUUGUCAGAGGUGAAAUUCUAGGAUUUACUAAAGACUGACCAAUGCGAAAGCAUUUGCCAAGGAUGUUUUCAUUAAUCAAGAACGAAAGUAGGGGGAUCGAAGACGAUCAGAUACCGUCGUAGUCUCUACCGUAAACUAUGCCGACCAGGGAUCCGGAGAGUUUGCAUGGAUGACUCCCCGGGCACCUUGUGAGAAAUCAUAAGUGUUUGGGUUUGGGGGGAGUAUGGUCGCAAGGCUGAAACUAAAGAAUGACGAACGCCCCCCCRGWGC
rnacentral:rRNA from 1 species